rnacentral:rRNA from 1 species
GACGAACGCUGGCGGCGUGCUUAACACAUGCAAGUCGAGCGGAAAGGCCACUUCGGUGGUACUCGAGCGGCGAACGGGUGAGUAACACGUGAGUAAUCUGCCCCUGGCUUUGGGAUAGCCACCGGAAACGGUGAUUAAUACCGGAUACGACCACUUCUCGCAUGGUAUGGUGGUGGAAAGUUUUUUCGGCCAGGGAUGUGCUCGCGGCCCAUCAGCUUGAUGGUGAGGUAAUGGCUCACCAUGGCUUCGACGGGUAGCCGGCCUGAGAGGGUGACCGGUCACACUGGGACUGAGACACGGCCCAGACUCCUACGGGAGGCAGCAGUGGGGAAUAUUGGACAAUGGGCGGAAGCCUGAUCCAGCAACGCCGCGUGAGGGAUGACGGCCUUCGGGUUGUAAACCUCUUUCAGCAGGGACGAAGCGCAAGUGACGGUACCUGCAGAAGAAGCACCGGCCAACUACGUGCCAGCCGCCGCGGUAA